ACAGCUUUACUGAUGGGUGGCCGGUGGGGAGCGCCCCCAUUGGGCAUUCCACCAGUGGGCUCUGAUGGUCUUGGCCUCCCCAUGUUUUUCUGGCCCAGGGACACCAAGGCUCAGAGAGGUAAACUUGCCCAAGGUCACACAGCUAGGAGGGGGAGCUGAGUCAUCACCCAGGUUUGUCUGCCCCAGGGCUGGAGCUCUGUCUCCAGGCCACCUGACCAGCUGAGGAGAUUGUCAGAAAGGCUGGGACACCAACGGAUGACGCACAAAUGGAGGAAUUUUCAGGCCUGGUCAAAGCUAGUGGGAGGGAAAAUAUUGAAGUGUAAUAUUCCAGAGUUCUCUCUUGUCUGCUCUGACUCCUGCCAGCUGCCCUGCACCUAGAGGAAUGGGAGGCUCUUCUCUGGGACAUUGCAUGGCCGGGAGCCAAAUGAGCUGGCCCCAGAACCUGGAACCCUCUCUUGGGGUCUGGAUUGGGAUCCCUUUCCAGUACCAUUCUUCUGGUGAACCACAAAGGGACAGUACCAGAGAAACCCACCAACCCAAAGGAAAAAGACCACAGCCCCAGUUGGCCGACUUUGAGUGGUUUAUAAUCAGCCAUAGAACUUUGAUGAGUACUCUUAAAUGCAGAGAGAAAGAAAACAGCAUCCAAGACUCUCCUGGAAAACUAACACAGUCAAGAAACCCCCACUUCUUGAGCUAUUUACAGCUUUUAACAAUUG